GGCCAGUUAGCUCAGUCAGUUGAGCGUGGCGCUAACAACGCCCAGAUCACGGGUUCGAGACCCGUUCGGUCCC
rnacentral:tRNA from 1 species